rnacentral:rRNA from 1 species
GAUCCUGGCUCAGAAUCAACGCUGGCGGCGUGCCUAACACAUGCAAGUCGCACGAGAAAGCGGGCUUCGGCCUGCAAGUACAGUGGCGCACGGGUGAGUAACACGUGAAUCAUCUACCUCCGAGUGGGGAAUAACCUAGGGAAACCUGGGCUAAUACCGCAUAACACUUACGAGUCAAAGCAGCAAUGCGCUUGGAGAGGAGUUCGCGGCAGAUUAGCUAGUUGGUGGGGUAAUGGCCCACCAAGGCGAUGAUCUGUAUCCGGCCUGAGAGGGCGCACGGACACACUGGAACUGAAACACGGUCCAGACUCCUACGGGAGGCAGCAGUGGGGAAUUUUGCGCAAUGGGGGAAACCCUGACGCAGCAACGCCGCGUGGAGGAUGAAAUCCCUUGGGAUGUAAACUCCUUUCGAUCGGGACGAUUAUGACGGUACCGGAAGAAGAAGCCCCGGCUAACUUCGUGCCAGCAGCCGCGGUAAUACGAGGGGGGCAAGCGUUGUUCGGAAUUAUUGGGCGUAAAGGGCGCGUAGGCGGUUUGACAAGUCUGAUGUGAAAUCUCUGGGCUCAACCCAGAGUCUGCAUUAGAAACUGUCGGGCUUGAGUAUGGGAGAGGUGAGUGGAAUUUCCGGUGUAGCGGUGAAAUGCGUAGAUAUCGGAAGGAACACCCUGUGGCGAAAGCGGCUCACUGGAC